rnacentral:rRNA from 1 species
GACGAACGCUGGCGGCGUGCUUAACACAUGCAAGUCGAACGCUGAAGCCCUUUCGGGGGUGGAUGAGUGGCGAACGGGUGAGUACACGUGAGUAAUCUGCCCUGUACUUCGGGAUAAGCCUUGGAAACGGGGUCUAAUACCGGAUAGGACCUGUCCUCGCAUGGGGGUGGGUGGAAAGUUCCGGCGGUAUGGGAUGAGCCCGCGGCCUAUCAGCUUGUUGGUGGGGUAGUGGCCUACCAAGGCGACGACGGGUAGCCGGCCUGAGAGGGUGACCGGUCACACUGGGACUGGGACACGGCCCAGACUCCUACGGGAGGCAGCAGUGGGGAAUCUUGCGCAAUGGGCGAAAGCCUGACGCAGCAACGCCGCGUGGGGGAUGACGGCCUUCGGGUUGUAAACCUCUUUCGACAUCGACGAAGGGGCCCUGUUGUGGGGUUUUGACGGUAGGUGUAGAAGAAGCACCGGCUAACUACGUGCCAGCAGCCGCCGUAA